rfam:Camelus ferus unplaced genomic scaffold scaffold852, whole genome shotgun sequence.
GAGGGUAUAGCUCAGUGGUAGAGCACAUGCUUAGCAUGCCUGAGGUCCUGGGUUCAAUCCCUAGUACCUCCA